rnacentral:rRNA from 1 species
CCUGCCCAAGAGAUCGGGAUAACACCUUGAAACAGAUGCUAAUACCGGAUAACAACAGAUGAUGCCUAUCAACUGUUUAAAAGAUGGUUCUGCUAUCACUCUUGGAUGGACCUGCGGUGCAUUAGCUAGUUGGUAGGGUAACGGCCUACCAAGGCGAUGAUGCAUAGCCGAGUUGAGAGACUGAUCGGCCACAUUGGGACUGAGACACGGCCCAAACUCCUACGGGAGGCAGCAGCU